AGGGAUAUAGCCAAGCUGGUUAAGGCACAGGACUUUGACUCCUGCAUCCGCUGGUUCAAAUCCAGCUAUCCCUGCCA
rnacentral:tRNA from 1 species